rnacentral:rRNA from 1 species
UACAGAGGGGGCAAGCGUUAUUCGGAAUUAUUGGGCGUAAAGGGCGCGUAGGCGGCUUGGCAAGUGGAAGGUGAAAUCCCUCGGCUCAACUGAGGAACUGCCUUCCAGACUGCUUUGCUUGAGUCCGGGAGAGGUGAGUGGAAUUCCCAGUGUAGCGGUGAAAUGCGUAGAUAUCGAGGAGGAACACCGGUGGCGAAGGCGGGUUCUCUGGGCAUUACCUGACGUGGAGGAGCGAAAGCGUGGGGAGCAAACAGG